rnacentral:rRNA from 1 species
GAUGAACGCUGGCGGCGUGCCUAAUACAUGCAAGUCGAGCGAACAGAUGAGGAGCUUGCUCCUCUGACGUUAGCGGCGGACGGGUGAGUAACACGUGGAUAACCUACCUAUAAGACUGGGAUAACUUCGGGAAACCGGAGCUAAUACCGGAUAAUAUAUUGACCCGCAUGGUUCACUAGUGAAAGACGGUUUUGCUGUCACUUAUAGAUGGAUCCGCGCGGCAUUAGCUAGUUGGUAAGGUAACGGCUUACCAAGGCAACGAUGCGUAGCCGACCUGAGAGGGUGGUCGGCCACACUGGAACUGAGACACGGUCCAGACUCCUACGGGAGGCAGCAGUAGGGAAUCUUCCGCAAUGGGCGAAAGCCUGACGGAGCAACGCCGCGUGAGUGAUGAAGGUCUUCGGAUCGUAAAACUCUGUUAUUAGGGAAGAACAAAUGUGUAAGUAACUAUGCACGUCUUGACGGUACCUAAUCAGAAAGCCACGGCUAACUACGUG